UGGGGAAUAUUGCACAAUGGAGGGAACUCUGAUGCAGCGACGCCGCGUGAGUGAUGAAGGACUUCGUUUCGUAAAACUCUGUUCUAUGGGAAGAAAAGGACUGUACCAUAGGAGAAAGCUCCGGCUAACUACGUGCCAGCAGCCGCGGUAAUACGUAGGGGGCAAGCGUUGUCCGGAAUCACUGGGCGUAAAGGGUUCGCAGGCGGAAAUGCAAGUCAGUUGUGAAAGGCAGAGGCUCAACCUCUGUAAGCAAUUGAAACUGUAUUUCUUGAGAUGUGGAGAGGCAAGUGGAAUUCCUAGUGUAGCGGUGAAAUGCGUAGAUAUUAGGAAGAAUACCGGUGGCGAAGGCGACUUGCUGGACACAAACUGACGCUGAGGAACGAAAGCGUGGGUAGCAAACAGG
rnacentral:rRNA from 1 species